rnacentral:ribozyme from 1 species
AGGAGGAGAAAAAAUGUGAGAAAACAUGGAGAAUUUCUCUUUUUCUUCGUCGUUGUCUUUCUCUCUUUCUUCCUCUUUCUCAUUUUCUUUCU